AUAAAGCUUUGAUGAUUCAUUGUCUUAUCAAAUCUAAAAAUAAACAUUUUUAUUUACAUUUCCAUAGCUUACACGAUAUAACAACUCAUUUUCUAGAUAUUUAUAGGCUGUUUCUUUUUUUAGGCUCUAGACAGGUUUUGUAGCAGCAGGGGGGAAAGGGGCCCUUUGAAAUGAAAAGGAUGCUGACCCCUGACUUAAGCCACCAGAUGCUCCUGUCACUCCAUUUCCCAGGUCAUCAUAGCACUCCCACACACAUGGAGCUCUCCUGCAGUAUGCAGUGUAAUGCCCCAAACCAUCAGUGGUCAUCUUUCCAUGGAAAGCAAUUAAUGCCCUCAAAGUGAACGACUUUCCUUGGAGAACCAGGUUGGAGGGAAAUUCAUUCAGUGGAAAUUCUGUUUGAUUUGCAAGAGAUGGAUUGGAGAGUGGCCUGAGGCAGGUAGACUCAGGUAGGCCAAGUCCUGCUUCCACAGCCGUGCCAAGAUGAGCCAUACCAGACUCUUUGAGGACAGAGAUGGCAGGAGAAACAAAUGGCACUUCCCUUGUCAUCCCUUUGCUGAGGUUUGUUGGGUCACACCAUCUGUGGCAAUGGCUUUCACCAGCUGCAGGACUGGGUUUUCACUGUCUUUCAGAACAGCAUUUUGAAAUGUGGAGCUGUCACAGAAGGCACAACAUAAGCACUGAAAAAAUGCAUCAAAUGCACAGUUUCAUCUGCAUGGAGCCAUUCUGUACAUGAAGAGAGGUAGGAAGUCCUCUUCCUUUUUUUGGGUGGAACAGCUAGGCCCCUCCAGUUCUCAACUGCAUCCCCAUCAGCCGGAAAAAUGUUUGUGGUAGCAUCAGAUCCCACAAAUGGAACAAAUCCGCAUAUUUCCCUCGAUGAAGGAAAGAUGACGAGCAAUGAAGCGAUCGACUCGAAGAGGUCAGUCUGGAUCUCAUCCACUGAAUCCACUCUCUCACUUUCCUCCGUCUGUUCAUCUGGAAUGAUGAUGGA
ensembl:lncRNA